AUUUUAUUAUAGCCCUUACACUUUAUAUUAUACAAAAAAAGUAAUUAACAUAGGGGUAAUAUGAAACCUCUAUAUAACUUACUAUUUCAAUCAAAAAUACUGUAGCUAGUGGUUGAUUCAUAUUCUGAGAAUAAUUAUCUUACAAGAUAUUUAAUAAAUUAUAUUUUAUAUCACAGGAUUAAAGUAUCAUUUAUAGUUGAGCAUCAUCAUCAUAGAGGACGGAUUGCUCUGCUUUAGUAAUUAAUAAUGACCCAUUAAAUUGGCCAACAUAAUUUUCUUGUUAUUUGUACAGCUGUAUUUUCGGCAUUCGUUCGGAAUAGACGAGUUUUUUGCCGAUCAUACGCGCGUCCCUUAAAUUACUGCCUUAAAUAUAAUAAUUUAUUGACGUCUCGUGCACAAUGUUGUUAAAUAAUAAACAGAGAGUUUAUUGGAGCUCACGAUCAAAAUUGAUAGAUUUUUGUGGCUGUGAAUAUUGUUGUCCUAGGCUCUUUGGUACCUCAGUUAUUUUUGAUUAAUUAUUUAUAUCGAACACCUAGAGAAUUGGACAAUACCUCGUAGAAUGUUAAAUAUUUCUGAUGGAAGAAUUGAAGAUCCGAGGGUAUCUUGCAUCAGGAACUAGUAGAAACAAUCUAACGGGAAAAUACCCUAUCUCAGAGAAGAACGUGAUGAAAAAUUAGCCACGAGGAUCUGUAUACCAUGGAAUGAUUGCUUAUAAAAUGGAAAGACAACAAAGAAGUCAGUAAUGCUACAAAUUUUGAUUCCACUAUUCUCAAGUGAACUAAGCCGAAACGACAAAAAGUAUCAACAAAUUCAACAGCUUGCUGGUUUUCAACAAUAUAAUAGCCAGAUAUAGGAUAUGUUGGCAUUAUGGACCAGGCUAAUAAUACGUAUAGAGUACAGAUAGAUACGUCAAAAAAAAAUAGUGGUACCCAAUAUUUACAUAUAUGUUAUUGGCUUUUGUAAACAAUGUUUACCAGCAAAUGAAGACAAAAGGAACCCCACUAACACACUACGAGUUUAUUCAAGACUUAUCUCUUCAUUGUUGUACAUCUGUAGGAUAAUCAAGUACACAGGGCCGAAAGUAAUUUUCUUAGCUGUCAGAAGUGGCUAAAUUUGAUGGGAAAUACCAUUUGAUAUGACCCUGUGACCAGGUAAAGCUACAUAGGAAAUGUAAUGACUUUUAUAUGCAAAAAAUGUGAUGUGGGUCUCCAUCCAAAAUAUUUUGAAUGUUACUACACAACUUUAUACACUAUAUAUUCUAAUAUUACCAAAUAAAAUUCGGUUUUUGUAUUUUUAGCUUAUUAAAAAAAAAUAUGUCAAAUAAAGUUUUCAUCAUUGUAA
rnacentral:lncRNA from 1 species